UAUAUGACUGUGAAAGAACUAGUAGUGCUUUAUGGGUGCAUGUAGAGAGUUGGCUGGUUGGUGAAAAGCCUUCAGUACAUAAAGUAUGAAUUACACUCUGGAGUCUCAAUAUGAAAAUAUUGCGUAUGUCAUACGAUAUAAUGACUAUGAGGCAUCUUUUGAUGCGAAUUAAGGUGGUACCACGGGUUUUCUCGUCCUUAUA
rnacentral:ncRNA from 1 species